rnacentral:rRNA from 1 species
UACGAAGGGGGCUAGCGUUGUUCGGAAUUACUGGGCGUAAAGGGCGCGCAGGCGGCUCUUCAAGUCAGAUGUGAAAGCCCCGGGCUCAACCUGGGAACUGCAUUUGAGACUGGAGAGCUCGAGUUCGGGAGAGGAGAGCGGAAUUCCAGGUGUAGCGGUGAAAUGCGUAGAUAUCUGGAGGAACACCGAUGGCGAAGGCGGCAUCCUGGACCGGUAUUGACGCUGAUGAGCGAAAGCCAGGGGAGCAAACGGG